AAUCAACGCUGGCGGCGUGCCUAACACAUGCAAGUCGAACGCGAAAGUUCCGCAAGGAAUUAGUAGAGUGGCAAACGGGUGAGUAACACGUGGGUGACCUGCCUUCGAGUGGGGGAUAACGUCCCGAAAGGGACGCUAAUACCGCAUAAUAUCCCGCCUUUUAAGAGGUGGAAAUCAAAGCCGGGGAUCGCAAGACCUGGCGCUUGAAGAGGGGCCCGCGUCCGAUUAGCUAGUUGGUGGGGUAACGGCUCACCAAGGCAACGAUCGGUAGCCGGCCUAAGAGGGCGGACGGCCACACUGGGACUGAGACACGGCCCAGACUCCUACGGGAGGGCAGCAGUGGGGGAUCUUGCGCAAUGGGCGAAAGCCUGACGCAGCGACGCCGCGUGAGGGAUGACGGCCUC
rnacentral:rRNA from 1 species